GAUACCAGUAUGCAUGAUUUGGAUGAAAAGCAAGAAGAUUCUGAACAAAAGAGCUGUCCAUCUCAAGAUUGUGAUUCCAAGGCAGCUGGAAUGUCCACUGACAAGGUAGCAGCUACAUUUGCAGACCAACUGUGCAGUUCCGUUGCAGAAGUCUCUCGCUCAAGCACAGACCCUCAAAUCCCUCAUCUCAUUAUGCUAG